UUUUUUUUCCGUUUCCUA
rnacentral:sRNA from 1 species